rnacentral:rRNA from 1 species
CCUACGGGAGGCUGCAGUGAGGAAUAUUGGUCAAUGGGCGGGAGCCUGACCCAGCCAAGCCGCGUGAAGGAAGAAGGCGCCAGGCGUCGUAAACUUCUUUUGUCGGGGAACAAAGGGCGCCACGCGUGGCGUUGUGAGUGUACCCGAAGAAAAAGCAUCGGCUACCUCAGUGCCAGCAGCCGCGGUAUAACGGAGGCUGCGAGCGUUCUCCGGAUUUAUUGGGUUUAAAGGGUGCGUAGGCGGUCCGGAAAGUCAGCGGGAAAAGCCCGGGGCUCAACCCCGGCUAGCCGUUGAUACUGUCGGACUAGAGACGGCUAGAAGGACGCGGAAUGCGCGGUGUAGCGGUGAAAUGCAUAGCUAUCGCGCAGAACUCCGAUUGCGAAGGCAGCUUACCGGCGCCAGACUGACGCUGAGGCACGAAAGCGUGGGUAUCGAACAGGAUUAGAUACCCCAGUAGUC